rnacentral:rRNA from 1 species
GUAUAAGUGCUYUUGGAACAGACUAUCAAAGAGGGUGACAAUCCBGUACUUUACACAAUCAUCAGUGCUCUGUGAUACGUUCUUUACGAGUCGAGUUGUUUGGGAAUGCAGCUCAAAAUGGGUGGUAAAUUCCAUCUAAAGCUAAAUAUUGGCGAGAGACCGAUAGCGAACAAGUACCGUGAGGGAAAGAUGAAAAGCACUUUGGAAAGAGAGUUAAACAGUACGUGAAAUUGUUAAAAGGGAAACGAUUGAAGUCAGUCGUGUUUAUUGGAUUCAGCCGGUCUUCGGUGUACUUCCUUUAAACGGGUCAACAUCAGUUUUGUCCGGUGGAUAAAGGCAGUAGGAAUGUCACUCCCUCGGGAGUGUUAUAGCCUAUUGUCACAUACACUGGAGGAGACUGAGGACUGCAGCUCGCCUUUUUGGCCGGGGUUCGCCCACGUUCGA